UGGGUUGUGGCUCAGUGGGAGAGCUUGCCUCGAACGUGCAAGGCUCUGGGUUUGAUCCCCAGCACCACAU
rnacentral:tRNA from 1 species